rnacentral:rRNA from 1 species
UACGGGGGGGGCAAGCGUUGUUCGGAAUUACUGGGCGUAAAGGGCUCGUAGGCGGCCAACUAAGUCAGACGUGAAAUCCCUCGGCUUAACCGGGGAACUGCGUCUGAUACUGGAUGGCUGGAGUUUGGGAGAGGGAUGCGGAAUUCCAGGUGUAGCGGUGAAAUGCGUAGAUAUCUGGAGGAACACCGGUGGCGAAGGCAGCUCGCUGGGACGUUACUGACGCUGAGACGCGAAAGCGUGGGGAGCAAACGGG